rnacentral:rRNA from 1 species
CCUACGGGUGGCAGCAGUGAGGAAUAUUGGUCAAUGGGCUUACGCCUGAACCAGCCAAGUCGCGUGAGGGAAGACUGCCCUAUGGGUUGUAAACCUCUUUUGUCAGGGAGCAACGCCGGCUACGUGUAGCCGGACUGAGAGUACCUGAAGAAAAAGCAUCGGCUAACUCCGUGCCAGCAGCCGCGGUAAUACGGAGGAUGCGAGCGUUAUCCGGAUUUAUUGGGUUUAAAGGGUGCGUAGGCGGAAUGCCAAGUCAGCGGUAAAAUCUCGGGGCGAAACCUCGCUCCGCCGUUGAAACUGGCGGUCUUGAGUGGGCGAGAAGUAUGCGGAAUGCGUGGUGUAGCGGUGAAAUGCAUAGAUAUCACGCAGAACUCCGAUUGCGAAGGCAGCAUACCGGCGCCCAACUGACGCUGAAGCACGAAAGCGUGGGUAUCGAACAGGAUUAGAUACCCCAGUAGUC